rnacentral:rRNA from 1 species
AAAUGAAUAGACGGGGGCCCGCACAAGCAGUGGAGUAUGUGGUUUAAUUCGAAGCAACGCGAAGAACCUUACCAGGUCUUGACAUCCAACUAACGAAGCAGAGAUGCAUUAGGUGCCUUAGGGAAAGUUGAGACAGGUGGUGCAUGGUUGUCGUCAGCUCGUGUCGUGAGAUGUUGGGUUAAGUCCCGCAACGAGCGCAACCCUUAUUAUUAGUUGCUACAUUUAGUUGAGCACUCUAAUGAGACUGCCGUUGACAAAACGGAGGAAGGUGGGGACGACGUCAAAUCAUCAUGCCCCUUAUGACCUGGGCUACACACGUACUACAAUGGCGGCUAACAACGGGAAGCGAAGCGGCGACGCGGAGCAAACCCCCAAAAGCCGUCUCAGUUCGGAUCGCAGGCUGCAACCCGCCUGCGUGAAGUCGGAAUUGCUAGUAAUCGCGAAUCAGCAUGUCGCGGUGAAUACGUUCCCGGGCCUUGUACACACCGCCCGU